UGUAGGAGCUGCCGAAGGCUGCGAUCUUUUGAUGUUGAUUUGUUCAAGAUCAAAAGAUCGCAGCCUUCGGCAGCUCCUACA
rnacentral:antisense_RNA from 1 species